rnacentral:tRNA from 1 species
UCCCUGGUGGUCUAGUGGUGAGGGCUCAGCACUUUCACUGCUGUGGCCCAGGUUCAAUCCCUGGUCUGGGAA